UACGGAGGAUCCGAGCGUUAUCCGGAUUUAUUGGGUUUAAAGGGUGCGUAGGCGGUCAGGUAAGUUAGAGGUGAAAGCUCGAUGCUCAACAUCGAAACUGCCUCUGAUACUGUCUGACUAGAGUGUAGUUGCGGUAGGCGGAAUGUAUGGUGUAGCGGUGAAAUGCUUAGAGAUCAUACAGAACACCGAUUGCGAAGGCAGCAUACCGGUGCACAACUGACGCUCAGGCACGAAAGCGUGGGUAUCGAACAGG
rnacentral:rRNA from 1 species